rnacentral:misc_RNA from 1 species
UCUCCGUAGGUGAACCUGCGGAGGGAUCAAUACAGGCUUGCAAAAGCUCCGAAACCACUGUUUAUCUACCUGAAUCUGCUUCGUCGUGCCACCCCCGGGCGGGGCCGUAGCCGCGAGGCCCCCGCCGAAGACCCCCAAACCCUAUCCUCUUGAGAAUCUCUGAGUAUCAUAUUAAACAGAUAACAACUUUCAACAACGGAUCUCUUGGCUCUG